GAUGAUGAAGAUUAUAUUAAAAAAAUAUUAGGGUAUAAAGGAAUAAAUGAUGCAAUUGAUAAAGCUGCAGAAAAUGGUAACCUUGAACAAGUAAAAUAUUUGCAUGAAUUAGGAUAUAAAGGAACAAGUUAUGCAAUAGAUAAAGCUGCUAGAAACGGUCACUUUGAAGUAGUAAAAUACUUGCAUGAAUUAGGGUAUGAAUGUGACAAACGCAUAAUUAAUUCUACUGUAGAAAAUGAACACUUUGAAAUGUUAAAAUAUUUACAUGAAUUAGGGUAUAAAGGUGAUAAAUAUUCGACAUUUGAUUUAGCUGUUAAAAGUGGACACCUUGAAGUAGUAAAAUACUUGCAUGAAUUAGGGUAUGAAAAUGAAUAUUUGGCAUUUAAUUUAGCUGUUGAAAGUGGAAAUCUUGAAGUAAUUAAAUAUUUACAUGAAUUAGGGUAUAAAGGUGAUAAAUGGGUAACUAAUUAUGCUGUUAAACAUAGAAAUAUUGAAAUUUUUAAAUAUUUACAUGAAUUAGGGUAUGAAUGUGACAAUUGUACAAUUAAUUGUGUUGCUAAAAAUGGUCACCUUGAAAUAUUAAAAUAUAUACAUGAAUUAGGGUAUAAAGGAAAUGAAAAUGUAAUUUUUUGUGCUGUUGAAAGUGGAAAUCUUGAAGUAAUUAAAUAUUUACAUGAAUUAGGGUAUAAAGGAAAUGAAUAUGUAUUUAAUUGUGCAGUAAAUAAACAGAUAAGAUCACCAUCAGAUAGUAACCUUGAAAUUAUUAAAUAUUUACAUGAAUUAGGGUAUAAAGGUACAGAAUCGUUUUUUAAUUCAGCUGUUAAAAAUGGAUAUAUUUAAACUUUUGAUACAUGUAGUUACUAUAAAUUCUAGUAGUGAUAAAGUUAAGCAAUGUUUCACUACUACGCAUAAAAAAUAACGCAUGCGCACAGAUCUGAAAGAUCAAUUAGCGCACAAGAGCAAUCUGCGAUAGCAAGAAAAAAAAAUUGAAAAUGAGUUAAAUAAUUUUCUUGUGUAUAUAAAAGAAUGGAAAAUAAUAUUGAGAAUAAUAAAUUUUUAAUAAAACCUUCAACUCAGGAAUAUUAUAUUACAACAAUAUUAAAAAACUAUGGGUAUGAACAAGGUAAUAAAGUUGAUUUUGCUAAAAGUAUAGAAAGAAUUGAUUUAUUUAUAUUAUUAAUUCAAUUAGGUAAAAAAAGUACAGAAGAAGUACUUAAAUAUUUACAUUCGUUAGGUUAUAAAGAUAUAGAAGAUGCAAUAGAUAAUGCUGUAAAAGAAGGCCAACUUGAAAUAUUAAAAUAUUUACAUGAAAUAGGGUAUGAAAGUAUAGAAGAUGUAAUUUAUUGUGCUGCAGAAAAAGGAAACCUUGAAAUAUUAAAAUAUUUACAUGAAUUAGGUUAUAAAGGAGAUAAAUAUUCGACAUUUGAUUUAGCUGUUGAAAGUGGAAAUCUUGAAGUAGUAAAAUACUUGCAUGAAUUAGGGUAUAAAAAUAAAUAUUCGGCAUUUGAUUUAGCUGUUGAAAGUGGAAAUCUUGAAGUAGUAAAAUACUUGCAUGAAUUAGGGUAUAAAGGAGAUAAAUAUUCGACAUUUAAUUUAGCUGUUGAAAGUGGAAAUCUUGAAGUAAUUAAAUAUUUACAUGAAUUAAGGUAUAAAGGUGAUGAAUGGGUAAUUAAUUUAGCUGCAGAAAAUGGACACUUUGAAGUUGUAAAAUAUUUACAUUCUGUAGGGUAUAAAGUAACAGAUCAAGCAAUUAUUAAUGCUGCAGAAUAUGGUCAUCUUGAAGUAGUAAAAUAUUUACAUGAAUUAGGGUAUGAAGGUGAUGAAUUUGCGAUUAUUAAUGCUGCAGGAAAUGGUCAUCUUGAAGUAGUAAAAUAUUUACAUGAAUUAGGGUAUGAAGGUGAUGAAUUUGCGAUUAUUUGUGCUGCAGAAAAUGGUCACCUUGAAGUUGUAAAAUAUUUACAUGAAUUAAAUUAUGGAUUCAUUUUAUAACGCUUUAGAAACAGCAAGAAAAGUCACGUGACGUCAUGCAAGAAUUUUUCGUCAUAUUUCAUAACAAGAAAUAAAAAUUAACACUUAUUUUAAAAAAUCAAUUUUUUAAAAUAAAAAAUUAUUUCUUGUUGAAAUAAUUAUACACAAUAUGGUUAACAUUGAACCCUAUAUUAAUAUUAAUUUAUGGUUGAAAAUAAGGUUGAAAAUGAAAAUAUUCUAUUAACCGGCAAUCUCUUACUACUCACGUUGAUUAAAACUGUAAAGAAUAAAAACAACAUAUAAAUAUAAGAAAAUAUAUAUGGUUGAAAACAAAAUUACUACAAAAUUUGAGAAAAAUAAUAAAAAUCCAAAAAUAAAGUUAAAUAGUAGAUAAAUUAUUUAGUAAUACUGUAAUAUGUUAUCAAGGGGAAGAACACAAGACAAAAAGAAUUUGAUCAAUCAAAAUCAAAAUUUGGCAAAACAAGUUUAUUCCAUAGGUGUGGUGCACAAUAGGCAAGACAAAAUUGAUUACAUUAGUUUGACAAAAAGGCUCGUUAAAAAUAUUUUUGUAAGAGUAUAUUUGUUGCUGGGUUUUAAACUGAAAAGAUCUGAAAAGUCUUAGUGGGAUAGAUUGUUUAUUCACAUAUAAUUUUUAUAUAAUAAAUUUUUCAUAAGGUUGAGUUCAUAUAUUUAUUUAAAAUUUUCAUUUCAAUAAUGUUAGGUUUAUUUGAGAAAUACAAUCAGCAAAGUUAAUUUUGAGAAUUGCUUGUUCCUGACAGCGAUAAAGACGAUGUACUUUACUUUUUUAGUACUUUCCCAAGCAAUAUCAGCAAUCAGACGGCAUCAGCAAGUGAAUAUCAGCAAGAAUCGAUAGACUCUCCGACAAUUAGACUGCGUCAUACUUGUAGAAUGUGUGGGACUUCUACACAGAAGAUAUUAUUUGGUGGCAUAUGUAAAAUUUGUCAAUUUAAUAAAAAAGCUAAGUUUUUAAAGUUGUAAAUAAAUAAUGCUUUA
rnacentral:misc_RNA from 1 species